UACGGAGGGGGCUAGCGUUGUUCGGAAUUACUGGGCGUAAAGCGGGUGUAGGCGGCUCUAUAAGUCAGGAGUGAAAGCCCCGAGCUUAACUUGGGAAGUGCUUUUGAUACUGCAGAGCUUGAAUGUGGGAGAGGUUAGUGGAAUUCCUGGUGUAGUGGCGAAAUGCGUAGAUAUCUGGAGGAACACCGGUGGCGAAGGCGGCAUCCUGGACCGGUAUUGACGCUGAGGCGCGAAAGCCAGGGGAGCAAACGGG
rnacentral:rRNA from 1 species